CCGAGCCUAAUUUCGUUAAGUUCAAGACAAAUUGCGGAAGAAGACUAUGACACGUGGCAUAAAUGACAUCAUGAUGAUGUCAUACUCUAAAAAAUUAAAAAAAGAAACUUUUUUUCUUUUUGACUUUUCUCCCCCAAUUUUUUUGUUUGUGCAAUUCAUUUCUUCUUUUUUUUUCCGGUCGUUUCUUCUUCUUCUUCUUCCUCCCUCAACUCAAGUUGCUCCUUCUUUUUAUUUUUCUUACCCUAGUCGCCUUGCUUUUAGACCGCUGCUAGGCCACUAUUCGGCCUCCUCCUGUGAGCUCUUCGACCAAUUAAGACUCCAGAGGACUUAGUUAACGAUGACCCCAAAGCCCUCUGGUGAGCUCUCUCAAGUCUAACUCCCGUUUUCAUAUUUUGGUUAAUGGGUUAGUAGCUUUAACCAAUUUUAGUUGUGGGGGUUUAGCAAAGAUUUAUAGAAUAUUUUCUUUGGAGAUUUAGUUGGAAAUUUGUCUCGUUCUAGUCGCUGGUGUUGUCGGUUUUAAAGGUCGUCUCUUUCACCUUUUUCAUUCUUCCUUGCUUCUCUGUUCUCUCUCUUUUUUUUACUUCUUUGCCUGGUAGGUCCUUGUCAUUUUGGCUAAUGGAGUAGAUUCUCUUCUUUUUUGUUUUUUAAUAUUGGUUGUUUUUUUAUUCUUAUUGGGUUUGAUAGAUUUGGUAUUUGGAUUUGAUUUCUGGUAAUGGGGGAAUUUGAAUCAUUCAUUGGGUUGAUGUGGUGAGAAUGAUGAAACAUAGUAGAUGGUGGUGGUGAUUUUAGGGUGAAGGUUUCACUUUCACUCUUAGACUUCCUUCAAGCUUCAGUGUGAAUCAUUGAUGAAGCUGCUUUCGGCAAAAACUUCAACAUCUUGUUUUUGGGUUUCAUCUAUUUCUCCAUUAUUGUUUGUAAAAAAAAUGUCACUUUUUUUUCCAACUUUCUUUCUAAUCUUUUGUUUCCUCAGCCCGAUUAUAGGUUCCUUUCCAUUGUUUUUCCAAAAAAUGUUACUUUUCUACUAGUAAUUAAUUUUCCAGUAAACACAGAGGUAAGAAAGUUUAUAGCUUUUUUUCUAGGCACAAUUUCUUUUCUCAGUUUUAUGUAUUAUUUUAAAUAAUUAUCCAAAUUUCAAUUUCAAUUGGGUUUUUGUUUUCCAUGACAUACCUGUUUAAAUAAAAAGGAUUGAUUCCUUUAACAAUAAUGGAAUCGAAAACUUCAAAACAAAAAUAAUGGUUCAUCAUCAUCUCUUCAAUUCAAUUACAAAUUCAAAAUUAUUUCACAUAUAAAGUAAAAUAGAUAAAUUAAUAUCCACAAUAGCCUAUUAAAACACAACCAAGCAAAACGAUAAAAGAAACCCAUAAAAACUGGGGAAGCAAAAAUUGCAGAUUUUAUCCAAUUUGCCUUCGAUUUUUUCUUCUUGUUUUAAAAAUAUCAAACAUUGAAGAAAGAAGAUAAUUUGUUUAUUUCUAGAGAUAGUACCAAAAGGAUCCAUAAAGGGAAGAUAGAGAAAAUAGGAGGAGAAGAAGAAGAGAGAAAAGUGAAAUUAGGAAGAAGAAAAGAAAAACUGGGAAAAAGAACGGAAAAAGGGAAAAAAUGGAAAUAAUUUUUACAAAUAUUUUUAUUAAUUUUUAAUAUUUUUUAGAUUAUGACAUCAUCAUGACAUCAUUUAUGCUACAUGCCACAAUCUUAUUUCGUCGUCUGUCUUGAACUUAACGACGUUAGACUCAGGUUUCGAUUUAGUUGAUAGAAAAAAAGUUUGAGUACCAAUCUAGGACCAAAAAAAAACCAUAAGUACUAAUCUAGGAGAAAUGGACAAAUUCGAGUACCAAUUUUAUAUUUAACCUUAACUUUUACCUUUCAUAUCCGUUUUUCCUCAUUUUCCAAUUUUGUCUCUUUUUCCAUACUUUAAAUACAAAACAAUAAUAUUACCUUAUAAUUAAUAUCCAAUAAAUUUCAACACAUUCACAAACUAAUCUCAUAUUAAAUAUUAAAAUAAUCAUGUAUAAAAUUAGUCACAUAAAUAUAAAUAAAAUUAAUCUAACAAAAUUCAAUACUUAGAUAUUAUUUAAGUAAGUAAAUUAUUGUUGUACUUAUAACCAAAGUCUUGGAAUCAAUAUUUCUUCUUAUACUCUUUAACUAUCUCUUUGCCUUUGUCCCUAACUUGUUAAUCACUUUUCUUCUCUUUUUCUUAAUUUUUUACAUUCAAACCCGAAUUUUUAUUUUCUCUCUCCUCCAAGAUAACUAUGGAUACACUUCUCAUGAAACUAAGAUGGAUACUAGGCUUCUUUAUUGAUUUCACUAAAUAUUCAUGAAAGAAAUGAUAGGAAUUAAGCUUGAAGACUUGGAAAUGGUGAAAAAAGACCUAUUUGUAAUAAAAAAAAAGUUGUAAAGAUGGAGAAAAGAGAAUGAAAUGAGAAUGGGGAAAAGAUGAAUGGAUUUCAUCAUAUUUCUAAACUAUUCUAAAGUUGCCACACCCAGAUUUCUCUAAACUCGAAACUUUAGAACAAUUUUAGGGUUAAAUCGAAAGAGAUCAUAAAUUAGAGGUUUUUACUAAAAAGCUAGGAAAAGUUGGGAACGAAAUUAGACAAGGUUAAAAUCCAAUUCCGGUUCUGUUGGAUUAGAACCAGCCGAUUCCUUAGUGGGGGACAAAAUGAUUGUCAAUGGAUGGUUUCUAAACAGUUUAAGAUCAUGCGGGAAGGGUUAUAUAUAGCGGGGAAAUGAUUUCUCGGGAGACUUCUUGUCCAAUUUGUUUCAUUUUCUUCCUUUCUUCAUCUUCUUCCUUGAUUGCUUCAUGAAAGCAAUGAUUAAAGAAAGCUCUGCAUUGAGCGAUGAUCGUAAGGUUUAAGUUGAAAAGGUGGAGAAUUCAGUAAGUUGGUAAGGUUCUUAGUCCUUCUGUAAACGUAGGGAUUAAGAGAAUGAAGAUAAGGGUUUCUAGAACCAUUUUAAGGUUCUGCAUAUUUUUGAAAAAUUGAGGUUUAAAGUAAAAACACCGAGUCUAACCCAUGAUUUGGUUGUCAUGCUUAGCUACUAGAAGAAUGGAAUCUCUGGCAUUUGGAAAAGCUAAGUUAGUGAGAUAAAGGAGUAUCAGAUGAGUUUCUGCACUUAACUCCUGAAAAGCUAAGUAUGUUGCAAGUUUAUAUGGGU
rnacentral:lncRNA from 1 species